AUUAACAUUUUCAAGUAUAUAACAUUUGUCAAAAUAUAGCAAAACCUCGUUCACAGGACUUCUGAAAAUAGAAAUGCGUUUAAAUAUUAUAUUAUUAUGUUUAGAGAAUAUGAUGUUAAAGCAUUUCUUAUCAGUUCAUACAUCUUAUUGACACAAAUCAUUGAGAACUAUCGCACAUUUCUGGAAGAUUUAAAAGAAAGUUUAUGAAUUAAAGGAAUGCUAGGCUAUAUAUGAAAGUUGACCUCACCUCAGAGCAUCAGGCGAUGUACUUUCUAGCAUUGUUAAGACUCUGAGAUCAGAUAAAGCGGUUCCUUCAGUCUCCAGUGAACUUCAGGACGUCCAGAUGAAGGAUUAUUGUGCUGUGGGACAAAGAGAGACUCAUUUGAGCACAUCAUUAUUAUUCUGUGCUGCGCGCCGCGGAUCUGCUGUGAUCGCGCUCCGUUCACGCGCUCUUCCAUUUUAUUACAGGGAACGCGCUUUAAGAAGAGUCAAAAUCACGGUCUGGAAGUUGAUCGAGUUCAUCUGGAAAGACGCAAGAUCGAUAAUAAACACAACACAAUCAGAUGUGAACAUUAGAAAUCGACUUCCAGCGACUGUUUGCUUCAUAAAAGCCAAUUUCAUGAGACGAGGAGAAAACCACCGCGUAAAACAGCGUCCAUGUGUUUAACAUGCGCUGUCUGAAUUAAGAUAUGUGCAUUAAGCUGCAGGAACGACAGACAGACAGACUGACGGUAAUGUGAUCAUCUACCAGAGGAGCUCCAGAUAUCAGCAGUCCCGCCUCGGGUUGACGGAGGCCGCGUGUCCCGCCCUGACCCCGGCGAGGAGGAUCGGCUCAGCGCUGAAUGACGAGCCACAGACACUCGACGAGCCUCAACGCAUUCAAAUCAAUCAGCCCGGUGUGACGUCAUCGGACACGUGACCGGAGCGGGCCGCUGGAGGUGUAUGAUCUGAGAUCAGAGCGUCAGCUUCUUGAUGCUCGUCUCUGUAUAGAUGCAACAUCUGUGUUUCAUUGGUGCUGGAGUAAUGAUAAACACACUCGCACAGCUGAUCCAAAAGCCACAGUUCGCACGGAUGGAGGUGAGUGCUGGAUAUAUUACUGUUAAAACACCUCUGGAUUUAUUUCUUCAGGCCCUGAAACCCCAGAGAGGCCGACCCUCCACUCGCUCUGCAGGAUUAUUGUGGAUUCUCGAGACCGCCUCGUCCUACGCAAUCAGAUGAAGAGACUCUGCAAAGCUAACACAGACUGCACUGACACCGGGUUAAGUUGUGCUGGAUUCUUCCUCAUCAGUCCAUUUGAGUCAUCUGACGGAACAAAUGAAAGCUCAUUAUUCACUGACCGGUUUUCCACAGUAGCUGAUGUCCAGAUUUAACUACACUAUAAAAAUAUCCACAGUA